rnacentral:rRNA from 1 species
UGUGACCUCAAAUCAGGUAGGACUACCCGCUGAACUUAAGCAUAUCAAUAAGCGGAGGAAAAGAAACUAACAAGGAUUCCCCUAGUAACUGCGAGUGAAGCGGGAAAAGCUCAAAUUUAAAAUCUGGCAGUCUUCUGGCUGUCCGAGUUGUAAUCUAGAGAAGUGCUAUCCGCGCUGGACCGUGU